AUUAAGCAUAUCAAUAAGCGGAGGAAAAGAAACCAACAGGGAUUGCCUCAGUAACGGCGAGUGAAGCGGCAAAAGCUCAAAUUUGAAAUCUGGUACCUUUGGUGCCCGAGUUGUAAUUUGAAGAUAGUUUUCUGGUGCUGGCCCUUGUCUAUGUUCCUUGGAACAGGACGUCACAGAGGGUGAGAAUCCCGUCUGGCGGGGUGUCCAGUGCUUUGUAGAUUUCUAUCGACGAGUCGAGUUGUUUGGGAAUGCAGCUCUAAGUGGGUGGUAAAUUCCAUCUAAAGCUAAAUAUUGGCGAGAGACCGAUAGCGAACAAGUACAGUGAUGGAAAGAUGAAAAGAACUUUGAAAAGAGAGUGAAAAAGUACGUGAAAUUGUUGAAAGGGAAGGGUAUUAGAUCAGACUUGGUGUUUUGUGAUUAUCUUCCCUUCUUGGGUUGUGCACUCGCAUUUCACUGGGCCAGCAUCGGUUCGGGUGGUAAGAUAAUGACAUUGGAACGUGGCACUGCCUUCGGGUGGUGUGUUAUAGCCCUUGUUGAUGUUGCCUACCUGGACCGAGGACUGCGGCUUUUGCCUAGGAUGCUGGCGUAAUGAUCUAACACCGCCCGUCUUG
rnacentral:rRNA from 1 species